UUGGGCCGAUCAAAGGUUGUUUUGUUUAAAAAUCGAUCAAAGGCUCUUUUUAUGAUGGGCUGAUCAAAGGCUAAACCGAUCAAAGGCCGUUUUAUUUAAAAGUCGAUCAAAGACUCCUUCUACACUAGGCCGAUCAAAGAUCGGGCCAAUCAAAGGCCAUUUUGUUUAAAAGUCGAUCCAAGACUCCUUCUACAUUGGGC
rnacentral:lncRNA from 1 species